GAUGAACGCUGGCGGCGUGCCUAAUACAUGCAAGUCGAGCGAACAGACGAGGAGCUUGCUCCUCUGACGUUAGCGGCGGACGGGUGAGUAACACGUGGAUAACCUACCUAUAAGACUGGGAUAACUUCGGGAAACCGGAGCUAAUACCGGAUAAUAUAUUGAACCGCAUGGUUCAAUAGUGAAAGACGGUUUUGCUGUCACUUAUAGAUGGAUCCGCGCCGCAUUAGCUAGUUGGUAAGGUAACGGCUUACCAAGGCGACGAUGCGUAGCCGACCUGAGAGGGUGAUCGGCCACAGUGGGACUGAGACACGGUCCAGACUCCUACGGGAGGCAGCAGUAGGGAAUCUUCCGCGAUGGGCGAAAGCCUGACGGAGCAACGCCGCGUGAGUGAUGAAGGUCUUCGGAUCGUAAAACUCUGUUAUUAGGGAAGAACAAAUGUGUAAGUAACUAUGCACGUCUUGACGGUACCUAAUCAGAAAGCCACGGCUAACUACGUG
rnacentral:rRNA from 1 species